rnacentral:rRNA from 1 species
GUACAAUAAGCAAAAUAAGGGCGUAUGGGGGAUGCCUUGGCUCUCAGAGGCGAUGAAGGGCGUGAUAAGCUGCGAAAAGCUACGGGGAUCAGCACACAUGACUUGAUCCGUAGAUACCCGAAUGGGGCAACCCACUAUGUUGAAGACAUAGUACACCGAUAGGUGGGCAAACCCGCUGAACUGAAACAUCUAAGUAGGCGGAGGAGAAGAAAACAAAAGUGAUUCCGUAAGUAGUGGCGAGCGAACGCGGAUUAGCCCAAACCAAUGUUGUUACGGCAAUGUUGGGGUUGUAGGACCACGUUAUUUGUUGCGGAUAGAAUUAGAAUUUACUGGAAAGUAAAGCCAAAGAAGGUGAUAGCCCUGUAUAAGUAAUAGAAGAUAACGAUAGUGGUAUCCUGAGUAGGGCGGGACACGAGAAAUCCUGUCUGAAUUUGGCGGGACCAUCCGCUAAGGCUAAAUACUCCUGAGAGACCGAUAGUGAACCAGUACCGUGAGGGAAAGGUGAAAAGAACCGUGAAUAACGGAGUGAAAUAGAUCCUGAAACCAUACGCUUACAAGCGGUCGGAGCCCUUUCGUGGGGUGACGGCGUGCCUUUUGCAUAAUGAGCCUACGAGUUAACGUUGCUGGCAAGGUUAAGUGAUUAAGUCACGGAUCCGUAGCGAAAGCGAGUCUGAAUAGGGCGCUUUAGUCAGUAGUGUUAGACGCGAAACCGUGUGAUCUACCCAUGGACAGGAUGAAGCUGUGGUAACACAUAGUGGAGGUCCGAACCCGUUGACGUUGAAAAGUCUUGGGAUGAUCUGUGGGUAGGGGUGAAAGGCCAAUCAAACUCGGAAAUAGCUCGUACUCCCCGAAAUGCAUUUAGGUGCAGCGUUAUGGUUAAAGUUAUAUAGAGGUAGAGCUACUGAUUGGAUGCGGGGGCUUCACCGCCUACCAAUUCCUGACAAACUCCGAAUGCUAUAUAAUGUUUCAUAACAGUGAGGGCUUGGGUGCUAAGGUCCAAGUCCGAGAGGGAAAGAACCCAGACCAUCAGCUAAGGUCCCCAAAUAUAUACUAAGUUGAAAGAACGAGGUCUGUCUGCAUCGACAGCUAGGAUGUUGGCUUGGAAGCAGCCAUUCAUUUAAAGAGUGCGUAACAGCUCACUAGUCGAGCGGACGGGCAUGGAUAAUAAUCGGGCAUAAGUAUAUUACCGAAGCUAUGGAUUUAGAGAUUACUCUAAGUGGUAGGGGAGCAUUCUAACAGGGUAGAAGGUGAGUCGUAAGGCUUGCUGGACUGGUUAGAAAAGAAAAUGUAGGCAUAAGUAACGAUAAUGCGGGCGAGAAACCCGCACACCGAAAAACUAAGGUUUCCACAGCUAUGCUAAUCAGCUGUGGGUUAGUCUGGUCCUAAGGCGAACCCGAAAGGGACAGUCGAUGGCCAACGGGUUAAUAUUCCCGUACUACUAUUAAUUGUGAUGGGGUGACGGAGUGAUGAAAGCGCCGCGAACUGACGGAAUAGUUCGUUGAAGUACCUACCUAUAAGAACCGCAGGCAAAUCCACGGUUUUUGGGGAAAUACGAUAGUACUCGGAGCCUUCGGGCAAAGAGAUAGUGCGCCUAAGGGCUUCCAAGAAAAACCUCUAAACUUCAGAUUAAUAGUACCAGUACCGUAAACCGACACAGGUAGUUGAGGAGAGAAUCCUAAGGUGCUCGAGAGAUUCAUGGCUAAGGAAUUAGGCAAAAUAGACCCGUAACUUCGGGAGAAGGGUCGCCAGCAGCAAUGCUGGCCGCAGUGAAGAGGUCCAGGCGACUGUUUAUCAAAAACACAGGGCUCUGCAAAAUCGUAAGAUGAAGUAUAGGGCCUGACACCUGCCCGGUGCUGGAAGGUUAAGUGGAGAUGUUAUGGGUAACCAGAAGCAUUGAAAUGAAGCCCCAGUAAACGGCGGCCGUAACUAUAACGGUCCUAAGGUAGCGAAAUUCCUUGUCGGGUAAGUUCCGACCUGCACGAAUGGUGUAACGAUCUGGACACUGUCUCAGCCAUGAGCUCGGUGAAAUUGUAGUAACGGUGAAGAUGCCGUUUACCCGCAGUGGGACGAAAAGACCCUGUGCACCUUUACUAUAGCUUAGUAUUGACCUUGGAUAAAUGAUGUGUAGGAUAGGUUGGAGACUGUGAAGUGGCGUCGCUAGGCGUUGUGGAGUCAUUGUUGAAAUACAACCCUUUGUUUAUCUGAGGCCUAACCCCGCAUAAGUGGGGGACAUUGCUUGGUGGGUAGUUUGACUGGGGUGGUCGCCUCCAAAAGAGUAACGGAGGCUUCUAAAGGUUCCCUCAGCACGCUUGGUAACCGUGCGUAGAGUGCAAUGG